rnacentral:lncRNA from 1 species
UGUCAUGUGUCAUGUUAUGUUCUAUAUGGCAGCCACUUUGUGUGAGAGUUUCAUAUUCUCUGCUGGUCUGUUGGCUCCUUGAAAUUCAGUACUGUUCAGGAAGGCUAAUAGAGCGUCAGGGUGCAGGUUGGAGCCAGCAUGGGCUGACGAUAAUUGCAGGACAGUAGCCACCAUAGAUUUGGGCUAAGUCUCUCAACCUUCUUUCUGACCAGAAAAUUCCUUCUGUAAUUUUGGCUACACAAGAGUAUCAAGGAAUGCUUAGGGGGCAAACAGAGUACUUCGAGAACAGCAUGCAUUCGGGCCAAGCUCCCAAGGCCAUGCUGAGCAUACGUCUCCAGCUCACAGCUUCGGGAAGCUGAGAGGAACAGAGGUCCUCAAUCUCAGAAAGAAAUAAAAGCAGAUCAGGGAAUCACCUCUCCCUUUUCCCUUAGUGAAAUAUUUUAAUGAGUUUUGAGGCUGUCUCUGUGUGUAUGAAAUGCCAGGAGUCUGCAUCUCAGCUGUUAUGACCAGAGGUCUUCUCUUGGGUGCUGGUGAGGACUGAGGACUAGCUGGCUUCAGGAAAGCUGCUUCAGCUGCUUUUCCUGCCAGCCACACAGCAGGAACAAGAAACAACUUUGGCUGGGCAUGGUGGCUCACGCCUGUAAUCCCAGCACUUUGGGAAGCCGAGCCAGGAGGAUCAGGAGGUCAGGAGUUCAAGACCAGCCUGGCCAUCAUAGUGAAACCCCAUCUCUACUAAAAAUACAAAAAAUUACCUGGGCCUGGUGGCGGGCGCCUGUAAUCCCAGCUACUCGGGAGGCCGAGGCAGGAGAAUCACUUGAAGCCAGGAGGCGGAGGUUUCAGUAAGCAGAGAUCACACCACUGCACUCCAGCCUGGAUGACAGUGCGAGACUCCAUUUCAAAAGAGAAAAAAAAGAAAAAGAAAAAGAAAAAGAAACAACUUUGCAGUUGUUUUUUUGCAGUUGUUGCACUGAGAGGAGUAGGAGGUAAGAGAGAGAGGGGGCAUGUGUUAGUUUGCCUGCUGUCACUCAGUGACUUGGAGGAAUGGAGAUUUAGGUCAAGGAUACAUUUCCAAGAAGGGAGACAAUAUGUCACAGUAUCCCCAGAACGAGCCAUGGGGCUGGGCUCAGAGACAUGGGAGCAUAGCUUGGGAACUUAAAGACACAACUCAAGUCACUAGGUUCUCUGACUCCCUCCGUCCCAGCCUCUGCAUUUAUUGGUCCCUUACAAUUAUGGUGACUCAGAAUGUCUCAGUUUCUACUUCUAGCACUCAGGACACAGCUCACUGGUGAUCUGAUUCUCCACCCUUUGCAUAUGUUUGUUUCUGUUGCUCUGAUCUUUGGCUUACUCAUGGCGUCUACCUACUUUUGGGCCUUCAUGGCCUGUCUUCCUUCUGUGUGAUUUUCAGUACUCUUUGGCUCCCACUCCCACAAUUAGCUGUUGAUUCUUUUUUCCUGUACCUUCUGUUUAAGUUCAAUAGAAAGAUAAUUUGAUUGGUUGGAGUGAAUCAUCACUAGCCUUCCUGCUCUUUGGUUAUGAGGUACUUCAUAGGUCCAACCUAUAGAGUUGGUCAACCUUGGGGCAGGAGCUCGCCCUAACUCCAACCAGCUUGGCCAGAGGCACCAACACGCUGGUCAAAGCAGGACAGCACAUAGAAGAUUUGAGAAAUGAUCUGCUUAAUGCAAUGGGUUUUAGGGGAUGACAGUUCUUUCACUUUGUAGCUGUGUGGCCUUGGGUGACUUCUUUAAUUUUUCUGAGCUUAUUUCUUUGCCUGUAAAAAUGUGGAUGAAGGUACUAUCUUGCAGUGAUGUGUGGAUUAGAGGUAAAUUAUCUAAAGUAUCUAAUAAACAGUGUGUGCUCAGGUGCUUCAUAAAUACUUUUUAUUAUGACGCUGCUGCAUUGGUCUGCCUGAGUCUGGAUUUUGCAUGUUGCUCUGACAUAAUUUUGGUGGCAGGAGCCCAUAUUUUGAUUCAGAUCCCAUGAUUCCAAAAACACUAUCUUUGGUGGUAAAAAUAAGAAUCAAGUAAGUGCAGAGGGCAUCGCUAAGAAACACUGAGGAUAUAUUCCUGAUUACGUUUUAAGGUCACCGCAAAGUCUGGCUGGAAAUAAAAGGCAAGAUUCGGGAUGCUUCCUCUUCAGUCAUUGAACAAGCGUGACUCCAGUUGAAUCUGAAAUGAGACAGCAGUCAAGGUUUCUUGGCUCAUCUCUUUCAACAAUUCAUUUAAGAAUAGCUGC